UACGUAGGUGACAAGCGUUGUCCGGAUUUACUGGGCGUAAAGAGCGCGCAGGCGGUCGUUCAAGUCGAGUGUGAAAGCCCCCGGCUCAACUGGGGAGGGUCAUUCGAUACUGAUCGACUCGAAGGCAGGAGAGGGAAGUGGAAUUCCCGGUGUAGUGGUGAAAUGCGCAGAUAUCAGGAGGAACACCGGUGGCGAAGGCGGGUCUCUGGGCCGAUACUGACGCUGAGGAGCGAAAGCGUGGGGAGCGAACAGG
rnacentral:rRNA from 1 species